UACAGAGGGUGCGAGCGUUAAUCGGAAUUACUGGGCGUAAAGCGUGCGUAGACGGUUAUCUAAGUCGGGUGUGAAAGCCCCGGGCUCAACCUGGGAAUUGCAUUCGAGACUGAAUAGCUAGGGUACGGUAGAGGGAAGCGGAAUUUCCGGUGUAGCGGUGAAAUGCGUAGAUAGUCGGAAGGAACAUCAGUGGCGAAAGCGGCUUCCUGGACCAGUACCGACGUCAGGCACGAAAGCCGUGG
rnacentral:rRNA from 1 species